GGCCGGUUAGCUCAGUUGGUUAGAGUGUGGUAUUAAUAAUGCUAAGGUCAUGGGUUUAACCCCCAUAUGGGUCA